AUUGAACGCUGGCGGCAGGCCUAACACAUGCAAGUCGAGCGAGCGGCGGACGGGUGAGUAAUGUAUGGGGACUGCCUGAUGGCGGGGGAUAACUACUGGAAACGGUAGCUAAUACCGCAUACCAUCACAUAACCAAUAUGGGAUGAGCGGGUAGGUGGGGUACAGGCUAACCUAGGCGACGAUCACUAGCUGGUCUGGGAGGAUGUUCAGCCACACGGAGAGUUCGAAACGGCCCAGACUCCUACGGAGGCAGCAGUGGUGAAUAUUGAACAAUGGGCGCAAGCCGGAUGCAGCCAGGCCGCGUGUAUGAAGAAGGCCUUCGGGUUGUAAAGGACUUUCAGUCGGGAGGCGUUACCGACAGAAGAAGCACCUGCUAACUCCGUGCCAGCCGCCGCGGUAAUAC
rnacentral:rRNA from 1 species